AACAAAUGGCAGAAAACAGUCUAGAACUUCUGUACUAGUCUCAGAGUAUAUAAAGAUAAGUACAAUGAGGCUGAUUUUAGGAGAAAAGGAAAAAGCAUUCUAUAAUGAAUUGUCUAAGGUUC